rnacentral:rRNA from 1 species
GACGGAGGGCGCGGGUGUUACUCGUUUUGAUUGGGUGUAAAGGGUACGUAGGUGGUUUCUGGUGUUUUUGACUUAAAGCGCGGAGCGUUCCUACGCGACAGCCUUUUAUAAAGGAAACUUGAGUUGAAGAUAGAUCGGGGCAAAUUCAUGUGAAGGGGUAAAAUCCGACCAUAUAUGAAUGAACACCAGCAGGCGGAGGCGCCUUUUCGGUUUCAACUGACGCUAAGGUACGGAAGCUUCGGUAGCAAACGGG